AGAGCGAACGCUGGCGGCAGGCCUAAUACAUGCAAGUCGAACGGACCCUUCGGGGUUAGUGGCGGACGGGUGAGUAACACGUGGGAACGUGCCCUUUGGUUCGGAACAACUCAGGGAAACUUGAGCUAAUACCGAAUGUGCCCCCAUCCUUAAACAAGAUGGGUGGGAAAGAUUUAUCGCCAUUGGAGCGGCCCGCGUCUGAUUAGCUAGUUGGUGAGGUAAAGGCUCACCAAGGCGACGAUCAGUAGCUGGUCUGAGAGGAUGAUCAGCCACACUGGGACUGAGACACGGCCCAGACUCCUACGGGAGGCAGCAGUAGGGAAUCUUGCGCAAUGGGCGAAAGCCUGACGCAGCCAUGCCGCGUGAAUGAUGAAGGUCUUAGGAUUGUAAAAUUCUUUCAGCGGGGACGAUAAUGACGGUACCGCAGAAGAACGCCCGGCUAACUUCGUGCCAGCAGCCGC
rnacentral:rRNA from 1 species